CGAAAGCCUGACGGGGCAAUACCGCGUGAGGGAGGAAGGCCUUUGGGUUGUAAACCUCUUUUCUCAGGGAAGAAGUUCUGACGGUACCUGAGGAAUAAGCAUCGGCUAACUCCGUGCCAGCAGCCGCGGUAAUACGGAGGAUGCAAGCGUUAUCCGGAAUUAUUGGGCGUAAAGCGUCCGCAGGUGGUCUUUCAAGUCUGCUGUUAAAGACCAGAGCUUAACUCUGGGCAGGCGGUGGAAACUGGAAGACUAGAGUUCGGUAGGGGUAGCGGGAAUUCCCAGUGUAGCGGUGAAAUGCGUAGAUAUUGGGAAGAACAUCGGUGGCGAAGGCGCGCUACUGGACCGAAACUGACACUCAGGGACGAAAGCUAGGGUAGCGAAAGGGAUUAGAUACCCCUGUAGUCCUAGCUGUAAACGAUG
rnacentral:rRNA from 1 species